CUCGACUUACUCUCCUUGGCGACUGGGUUAUGCAUCAGAUCCUCAGCUGGUGUAAAUUUGUCCGACUGUGACUUUCAUGACCCCUGCAAUCCGAAGCGCUGUUUGGGAUGUCUAUAACUGAGUUAUGCAUCAGAUCCUCAGCUGGUGUAAAUUUGUCCGACUGUGACUUUCAUGACCCCUGCAAUCCGAAGCGCUGUUUGGGAUGUCUAUAACUGAGUUAUGCAUCAGAUCCUCAGCUGGUGUAAAUUUGUCCGACUGUGACUUUCAUGACCCCUGCAAUCCGAAGCGCUGUUUGGGAUGUCUAUAACUGAGUUUACCUCCAACGCAGAAAGAUGACUUAGCACCACCAAAAGAUUUCUCAUUACUGGGGCUGUGACCCCUGUUGGAAUGGGGGCUGGGGCGGUUAUAGGGGCUAUUAUGACUGCUAUCGGCCAUGGGGUUACUAUAGGCCAUACAGUUAUGGAUGGGGCCCUAAUUACGAUUCCUGCUACUCUUACCCUUACCGAUGGGGCAGUGGGUACGGCUAUGGACAAUGCUGGCCAUGUUUCGCUGAGGAGCAAUAGACCCGGAACAAGGAACAACCAGGAAACGAAAAGCAAGAUACAAUUCAGCGAUCAGCUUAUGGGCAAUGGCUUUCAGAAAUGCUGAGCAACCACCACUGCCAUGGGAGCUGUGAUUGCUCAGUGCCUCAGGAAACCUACCUAGUAGCUGGAUUUCCCUUUAUGACUGUUUCCGCUAAUGCCUCCUCUUAGAGUAUCAGAGUUGGAAGGGACCUCAGGAGAUCAUCUAGUCCAACCCCUUGCUCAAAGCAGGCACACUCCCCAAUUUUUUUUUGCCCCAGAUCCCUAAACGGCCCCCUCAAGGAUUGAACUCACAACCCUGGGUUUAGCAGGCCAAUGCUCAAACCACUGAGCUAUCCCUCCCCACCGUUAUUCUAACGGCUUCUUCUAGAACUCUCUAAAGGCCUGACUCCCAAUUCCAUGAAGGCCCCUUUAGGCCACUCUGGCAGUGUCACUGAGGCAGGGACCUUAAAGUUGGCACAAAUAACAUUUACACUCACGAGCAGGCUCCUUACAGAGCAACGUAAAGGGACCUUAGUGUCAGUGAGAAUUAGGCCCUGGGUGUACUGGCCUCUUCCUGGGUAUGGGCCAUUUGUCUCUGCCUUUAGUUUUGCUACAGAAGAUGACUCACAGAGAAAGAGCGUAGUGCUCUGCUCCCAUUCUGCUUUGUGUCAUUUGAUCCUGACUGGGAUAAAAAUGCUGGAAACAGGACUUCACUCUUACCGCUACAGCUGCAAUGAAGGAAGAAGAACAUCUGGUAUGAAAUGCAUCACCGUGGAGCCAGUGAUUUCUUGUAGACCUUCUUGAAACCCUAGAAAUAUAGUCUUUCUGCUCUGCAUUCCUUGUGUCUCUUGCUAUGUCCUUCUCUUCUAAUUCACAUUAAAGUCCUUCUGCAUCAUA